GAAUUCUGUGACGAUGUUGUUGAUUGUUCAGCUUGGCUAUUGUGUGAGCGAUUAUCCCUGAGACAUUGCCGUGAAAUGAAUCGUUUUCUAUUUCGUGUCUGAACCAUUAAGGUCUUUAUGACUGGAACUCUACCUGUGAGGUGCCGCAGGCCUCACGAUGAGUGAUGAAGAGCUGGAGGUGGGGAGAGUUCACGUCAUGUCAUUAUCACCUUUUACCUCAUAUCCAACAGUUUAAUCAGAGGAAGCGAUGCCUUUUCUCCUUGACAUAUAGGUUUUUCAAGAGGACGUGAAAGACACUGUACAAAAGAAGGAUCUUUGGAUGCCAGACAUCAGAGAUCGGAACACCCCAUGGCUUCCAGUCUCUUCCUGAGGCCUUACAGGAUCUGAUGGUCACCAUGGUUCUAUCAACCAUUGAUAUGGCAAAUCAAGAGUGCUUCCAUCAUUUUCUGCUCUGACUGC